UUUUGAAAUUGGGGGCUGGACUAGGAGCUUGCUCUGUCUACCCCACGUAUUGACCUGGUAUUGCAGUGUUUCCAGGAAUGGUGCAUCCCCU
rnacentral:snRNA from 1 species